UUGUGAUUCUAGUAACAGAGAUGCAAAAAUUGGACCAGAGCAGGGAAGAUUAACAUGGUCACUUCAUAAGAAUGGCAUGAAAUCUAUAAGGUAUUUUCCAUAUUGGU
rnacentral:snRNA from 1 species